rnacentral:misc_RNA from 1 species
UUGAUUGAUUUAUAUUCAAUACUCCGACGCAAAGACGCAGGGUGUUUGAUUGGACCUCUGGGGGACUCCCGGGCUCGCGUCCGGGUCGCCCCCCGAGGCAACAGUUAUGAAUCGACAAAGGGUUGGAGGUUGGGCGCGAGGGCCCGCACUCGGUAAUGAUCCCUCCGCAGGUUCACCUACGGAGA